rnacentral:lncRNA from 1 species
UCUGUGGGCACUCUGCCCGCGGGGCCCAAACCCCUUCAGGAGAGUCCAUGCCAAGAUGGAGUUGAGAGCGUGGGCCACUGCUCUAAGCCAGUAAAUGGCUCCAGCUCCAGGUCCUGCGCUGUGCAGCCUGGUGGGAGCUGGCCACGUGUGGAUGGGUCCAUGUCCCCAGCAAGUCCAUCAGCUCAGACAUGCAAGUCUUCCAGGACACUGCCCUCUGCCCCAGCAGUGGCUUCUGGACUGGCAUCUGUCCUCUACCUCACCAACCAGGCUCUGGACUCCAUGACAGAUCUGCCUGCAGGGAGCCCAGCACACAUGCUGCAUGUCACCGAGGCAGAGGCCACAGUCCCCACACUCUGGGAUAGAACUCGGGAGCCACGGCCACCCACACUUGCAUGGGAAAGGGUGUCUGCUGCAGGAUGACAAGCAGGGACAGCUGGGUGGUCCUCCUAGAGCUCUGGGGAUGGGGGCAGGGGACAUCCCCUAGGCACCCUGUCUAACCAGAAUGGAUAGUUAGAGGAGCGCUGGGGCCUAGCCACCUGCUUCUGCCAUUGGAUUUGACAAGCCAUUUUAUAUUGGGUGUCCAAGCAGUCCUUUCACCUCUUGGGUAGUCGGAGGUGCUCCGCGAGGUCCCGCUCGAGGGCCCUGGCUUUAGGUUGUCAGGGGAUUAAACAGCUUUUCAUACUC